AGAGGGUGCAAGCGUUAAUCGGAAUUACUGGGCGUAAAGCGCACGUAGGUGGAUAAGUAGGUUGGAUGUGAAAGCCCUGGGCUUAACCUGGGAAUGCCAUUCAAAACCACUUGUCUAGAGUAUAGUAGAGGAAAGUGGAAUUUCCGGUGUAGCGGUGAAAUGCGUAGAUAUCGGAAGGAACACCAGUGGCGAAGGCGACUUUCUGGACUAAUACUGACACUGAGGUGCGAAAGCGUGGGGAGCGAACAGGAUUAGAUACCCUGGUAGUCCACGCCGUAAACGAUGAGAACUAGCCCGUUGGGAAUCAUGAAUUCUUUGUGGCGCAGCUAACGCGAUAAGUUCUCCGCCUGGGGAGUACGGCCGCAAGGUUA
rnacentral:rRNA from 1 species